GUUCAAAGAUACCCCUGAAAUCAUUUUGUUUUCUAAAACCUAUGGUCCUGAGGAGACGUUUUGCCAAUAGAAGGUCAAUUAUGUGGUGCUCAAAAUCAUGGAAAAGAAGGGGAUUCAUCAUUAUUUUGUCUCUUUUUCCUUUCUGUUAACUUCAGAACUUUUGAAUUAACACCAUAAAUUUCUAGUGAAAAUUCGGACGUUUAACGGGAAUGCACUCCUUCUACCAGAAAGAAUAGCCCAAAAUACCGCGUAGGUCCAAUCUCAAUGCGAUUUGACAAAACAUACCAUCAAUAUUGUAAUCUCAUACAAGAAACAAAUUAAAUAUAGUGACUAUGAAUGCAAAUCUCUCGUUUGUUCGUAGAAUCUUCAAGAUAUUCCAAGUAAAUCGUAAUUACUACUCAUCCGAAAACAAGUGUCAUUCCUCAGCGAAAGUGAGCCAUCCCUUUUUUUUUGCCUCAUUUGUUCAAUGUUUUUCAAAUGUGUAUAUAAUAUGUUGACUAUUCGCUUCGUUAGAUGGCACUGUAAGCGUCGUAAACGUGUUUUUGCCAUUCAAUCAUAGUAUAAUCUAUAUGAAAAAUUAGCAAUUUAGUACUAUGAGGGGAACAUAAAUUUCCUUCGCUUUUUAUUUGCCCGUUAUGGCGGUCGUUCACCUGAUAGCUUUUGCAAAAUUAUGCAUAAUUCUUCUUUUAAAAGCUUCCAAUCAAAGUUGUUCUGAAAGUUUUUUAUUAUAAAUACUUUCUUUCCACCUUUUAACAGUAUCGCUUCUCGGCCUUUUGGCUAAGAUCAAAGUGUAGUAUCUGUUCUUAUCAGCUUAAUAUCUGAUACGAGGACCAUGUGUCCUCUUCGAUAUUAAUCUUAUUUCUGUAAGGGGAUGGAUGUUCUGAUGCUUGCAUUGGCUCCAUCACGGGUCGGCCUGGUAUUGCAGUACCUCCAGGAGUGGCCCACU
rnacentral:lncRNA from 1 species